rnacentral:misc_RNA from 1 species
UCUCCGUAGGUGAACCUGCGGAGGGAUCAUUACUGAGUGAGGGCUCACGCCCGACCUCCAACCCUUUGUGAACCAAACUUGUUGCUUCGGGGGCGACCCUGCCGUUUCGACGGCGAGCGCCCCCGGAGGCCUUCAAACACUGCAUCUUUGCGUCGGAGUUAAAGUAAAUUAAACAAAACUUUCAACAACGGAUCUCUUGGUUCCAGCAUCGAUGAAGAACGCAGC